rnacentral:rRNA from 1 species
GACGAACGCUGGCGGCGUGCCUAAUACAUGCAAGUUGAGCGAUGAAGAUUGGUGCUUGCACCAAUUUGAAGAGCAGCGAACGGGUGAGUAACGCGUGGGGAAUCUGCCUUUGAGCGGGGGACAACAUUUGGAAACGAAUGCUAAUACCGCAUAACAACUUUAAACAUAAGUUUUAAGUUUGAAAGAUGCAAUUGCAUCACUCAAAGAUGAUCCCGCGUUGUAUUAGCUAGUUGGUGAGGUAAAGGCUCACCAAGGCGAUGAUACAUAGCCGACCUGAGAGGGUAAUCGGCCACAUUGGGACUGAGACACGGCCCAAACUCCUACGGGAGGCAGCAGUAGGGAAUCUUCGGCAAUGGACGAAAGUCUGACCGAGCAACGCCGCGUGAGUGAAGAAGGUUUUCGGAUCGUAAAACUCUGUUGGUAGAGAAGAACGUUGGUGAGAGUGGAAAGCUCAUCAAGUGACGGUAACUACCCAGAAAGGGACGGCUAACUAC